rnacentral:sRNA from 1 species
AUUUCCGGUCCAGGGGGUUUGGCUCUCCGCGGCACGGGAUUUAGCGUUCGCGCUCCUUCCCUUCCCGUGGUGGAGCUGAGUCCUGACAUGGGGGCUGCAUCAAGAUCUUGUCAUUCCACAUCAUGGUUUCCUUUGAGGACGUGGCUGUACCCCUGUCCCAGGAGGAGUGGGACUGUCUGAUCCCUGCUCAGAGGGGCCUCUACAAGGAUGUGAUGAUGGAGACCUAUGGGAACCUAGUCUCACUAGUAGGUGAAUGGUUAAGCAAACUGUGGUACAUCCAUACCAUGGAAUACUACUCAACAAUCAAAAGGAACUGCCCAGACUUCACCACGAUGCAAUAUAUGCAUGACUUCAAGCUUCCAAACCUGAUGUAAUCUCCAGGCUGGAGCAGGGGGACGAACCAUGGACCCCUCACAUCCUGAGAACUUGGGGGAGCUGGAGCUGGAGGCACAAGAGAGAAGGCUAUGAUUCUAGGAUUGAAAAAGAGGAACUGAUUCCAAAGCAGGACAUUUCCAAAGAAUUGGAAUCCCAGAGAGCAAAAUCAGAAGAUCAUGUAAGGAAUAUUUUUAAGGAAACUGAAGAGAUGAGUAAAACUGAGGGAAAGUUAGAGAAUUGCUGGAGAAAAUAUGCAGUAGAAGGAGUUAAGAACUCAUUCUCCCAGAAGCACAAUUUCAGAGAAAUUACCAUGAGGUAUGUGAAAACUCUCUAGAGAGAAUGGCCAGAAGUUCAAUACUGUUGGAGAAAACUGCAUCACAGACUCAAAUCCUGCCAAACAUCUUAAAGGGUCUAGAGAGGAGAGUCUCCAUCCAAGUGUGUCAAGUGUAGAAAACUUGCAACAACAUGAGGACCUCAUUAACCUCUGGAGUUUCCAAUU